rnacentral:rRNA from 1 species
AGGACGAACGCUGGCGGCGUGCCUAACACAUGCAAGUCGAACGAGGUCCAUGCAGUGGCAACACUGCGGACGACCUAGUGGCGAACGGGUGAGUAACACGUGAGGAACUUGCCCCGGAGACCGGGAUAAGCCCCCGAAAGGGGGUCUAAUACCGGAUGUCCUCACCGAGUCGCAUGGCUUGGUGAGGAAAUGGAUUCCGCUCCGGGAGAGCCUCGCGGCCUAUCAGCUAGUUGGUGGGUAACGGCCACCAAGGCAUCGACGGGUAGCUGGUCUGAGAGGACGAUCAGCCACACUGGGACUGAGACACGGCCCAGACUCCGUACGGGAGCAGCAGUCGGGAAUCUUGCGCAAUGGGACGAAAGCCUGACGCAGCAACGCCGCGUGCGGGAUGAAGGCCUUCGGGUACGUAAACCG